CACAGAAGGCAGGACGUCCUGACCAUGUCCACCAUGGCCUGGUCCCGUCUGCUUCUCACCCUGGUCGCUCUCUGCACAGGAUCCUGGGCCCAGGAUGUGCUGACUCAGCCACCCUCCGUGUCCGGGUCCCUAGGUCAGACGGUCACCAUCUCCUGCACUGGGAGCAGCAACAACAUUGGCUAUGGCAAUUAUCUGAACUGGUACCAACAGAUCCCAGGAUCGGGCCCCAGAAGCCUUAUCUAUGGUACUACCAUUCGAUACUCGGGUGUCCCCGACCGGUUCUCCGGCUCCAGUUCUGGCAACACAGCCACCCUGACCAUCACUUCGCUCCAGGCUGAAGACGAGGGGGACUAUUACUGUGCAACUUACGGAAGUAGUAGCUAUGAAGAUUGCACAGUGCUCCAGGCCUGGGGGGAAGUGAGACAAUAACCUGCUCUGCUCCUGACAUGGGCCUCCCAGGGCUGAACCAUCUCUGUCAAAGCAGACACUGUAGCAGCAGCUGUGAAAUGGACAUAAAUCUUAUUUCAUUUCACACGGUGGGAACAAGAACGUUUGGCUGUACUUCACAGCUUACUGCCAAAGUUUUCACCCCAACGCCCUCAGCUGCUCUUCCCAGUCCUUCUGCUCCACGUGAGACCAUUAAGUGGAAAGCAAAUUUGUUCAAACCAGCAAUUUCAAACCAACUGAU